GAUGAACGCUGGCGGCGUGCCUAACACAUGCAAGUCGAGCGAUUUACUUCGGUAAAGAGCGGCGGACGGGUGAGUAACGCGUGGGUAACCUGCCUCAUACACAUGGAUAACAUACCGAAAGGUAUGCUAAUACAAGAUGAUAUAAGAGAUUCGCAUGGAUUUCUUAUCAAAGCUCCGGCGGUAUGAGAUGGACCCGCGUCUGAUUAGCUAGUUGGUAAGGUAACGGCUUACCAAGGCGACGAUCAGUAGCCGACCUGAGAGGGUGAUCGGCCACAUUGGAACUGAAACACGGUCCAAACUCCUACGGGAGGCAGCAGUGGGGAAUAUUGCACAAUGGGCGAAAGCCUGAUGCAGCAACGCCGCGUGAGCGAUGAAGGCCUUCGGGUCGUAAAGCUCUGUCCUCAAGGAAGAUAAUGACGGUACUUGAGGAGGAAGCCCCGGCUAACUACGUGCCAGCCGCCGCGGUAAGAC
rnacentral:rRNA from 1 species